rnacentral:rRNA from 1 species
AGAGUUUGAUCAUGGCUCAGGAUAAACGCUGGCGGCGUGCCUAACACAUGCAAGUCGAACGCCCUUCGCAAGAAGGGAGUGGCGGACGGGUGAGGAACACGUGGGUCAUCUACCUCCGGGUGAGGAAUACCGGCGAGAAAUCGCCGACAAUACCACAUACGUUUGGCAACAAACAAAGCUCCGCAAGGGGCGCCGGGAGAUGAGCCUGCGGCUGAUUAGCUAGCUGGUGGGGUAAUGGCCUACCAGGGCGACGAUCAGUAGCUGGUCUGAGAGGACGAUCAGCCACACUGGGAUUGAGAACGGCCCAGACUCCUACGGGGGGCAGCAGUGAGGAAUUUUCGGCAAUGGGGGAAACCCUGACCGAGCAACGCCGCGUGCAGGAUGACGGCCUUCGGGUUGUAAACUGCUUUUCUUUGGGACGAGCAAGGACGGUACCAGAGGAACAAGCCCCGGCUAACUACGUGCCAGCCGCCGCGGUAAUAC